AGCGGUCAUGGAGAGUCUCCAUCCAGCUGGAUCACUGUCACAGAGAAACACACCACCACACCUCCACCUACAUCCACACGUCCACCUACAUCCACACUUCCAUCUACAGCCACACCUCCACCUAAAACCACCUCGACCACCUUGACCUUUCCUGCCGCUUCCUCUCCUCUUCUCCCGGUGUUGCUGACUGCUGGGACACUCUGUGUCAUAGCUCUAGUGGUCUUACUGAUUGUUUUGGUGGAACGAUAUGUUGACAGGAAGCUUCAAGAGAGCGCUUUAGCUGCCGUCUACUCAGCAGUGAGGACAGAAGACAUCUGUUAUGCAGAAAUCAAGAUUAAAGAGAAACCCAUAUAAACAAAGACCAGAUUGUGAAGCCAGAGCUCUGUACUGAAGAUUCCCACCAGUCCAGCCGAUGACUUCCAGCUACUGGUCCAACCGACCCAUAAGACCUGUGUUUUUCUCAUCACCUUACACAGCCAGCACGCUUGCCUUAUCAAGAGUAUGUAUAGUAUGUAAUGCAUUAAUGCAGUAAUGGAAUGCACUGUAUAUGAUCCCCUAUUGAUCUUUCUAUCGAUCUAUUUAAUUUCUAAGUGGGAGACCGUGCUGUCUGCUCCACAGCAGUGAUCUAGUUUUUCUGCAGAAUCAAUAAACUUUGGUCUCACUUUUGUUCUCGUGUGGUUCUGUGGGUUUCAGAAAGAUGUCUGAUGCUAACUGAUACACGCCACAGCUGCACACUAUAAACAGCAGGAGCAUUAUUCAGUGGCUGGAAACUUCAGAGAAAAAAAAGUCAGAACAAAGUGCGUACGUGUUCGUGAUAGGAAAUGAAGUCUGUUGGGCUAUGGAUGGCUGCACUGGGAGAUGACGUUUAACUUAAGAAGCUGUACACCGCAUCUUAGCUGGCGUGCAGUUUGCUGUCUGUGGUUCAAAGUCUGUUACACUCUCCAAGGUCCCAAAAAAAGAAAUCGGUUACAUCUGAUGUUUCAAACAAAUAGAGCUGAGUGUCUUUUUCAAAUGAUCAGCUAGUUACAAGUCUAAUAGAUACAUAAUGAGCAGAUUCCAACUCAUUUUUUAAUGUCUUACCUUCACAGCAGCACAUCAACAGCCCAGUGCUCCUGCAGCUGUCGUACACAGAUGUUAUUACAAGUUAGUGUAGUUUCUUCAAGUUCCUUCUUAUUGUCAGCUCUCAUUAAAAUAGCAACUGCUCUCUUGCACUAGUCAUGCAUUUGUGAAAUAAUAAAGUAAACACCUGUUAAAGUGUUUCUGUCAUAGCAGUGUGAGUGGCGGGCAGAUGUGCAGAACGCACAUGCAGGGUUUUCUUUGUUGCAAUAAGAAAAGCAGUAUUUGUAAUAUCACCAUUUAGCAUUUAGGUAACAGAUGUGAAGUCGUGGUUUUAAAGUAGAGUUUAAUGAGCUGAUUUAGCAGCAAAAGUGAUUCUUGGAUG